rnacentral:lncRNA from 1 species
CGACCCUGAUGACUGUGAAGUGUGCGAGAUUAGUGUUCAUUUCCUCAGUUAUAUCUUCAUGUAGGACUUCUGUCUCUUCGUCAUCACUGCUAGUUGUCGAUGCAUAUACUUGUAUAAUUUUCAAUCAGUAUCUCUUGGAAAUCCUUAUUUUGACUUGUCUUACUCGGUCUGAGUUGCUGCUGAAACUGAUGAUAUUGUGUACGAUGUUCUUGUUGAUCAUGACUCCUAUUUUUCCAUUGGCGUUGAUCUCAUUAACUUGAUGGUAGAAAAGAUGUUCGCUUCGAAGUUCCGUGAGUUUUCGCCAUUUCUUCUUUAUUCGCUGAGUCCAAUGAUGUACUAGUUGAUCUCUGCUUCAUUUUUCAAUUCUUGUAGGCUGUCUUCUGUCGAAAGAUAUCGUCCAUUAUAUGUAGCGAAGGUCAGUAAUCGAAGACAACCAGUGCAUCUUUCAUACUCCAAUUGCUGCCGUGACCGAAUCUUCCAGUGCUGUUGAUAAUCCUAAUCUUGUGUCGAGUAUCAUUGAAACAAUCUGAAAGAUUGUAGAUUAUUAGGUCUGUCACGACUCAAUAAUUAGUUAAAAUCUGACGAC